rnacentral:rRNA from 1 species
GACGAACGCUGGCGGCGUGCCUAAUACAUGCAAGUUGAGCGCUGAAGGUUGGUACUUGUACCCACUGGAUGAGCAGCGAACGGGUGAGUAACGCGUGGGGAAUCUGCCUUUGAGCGGGGGACAACAUUUGGAAACGAAUGCUAAUACCGCAUAAAAACUUUAAACACAAGUUUUAAGUUUGAAAGAUGCAAUUGCAUCACUCAAAGAUGAUCCCGCGUUGUAUUAGCUAGUUGGUGAGGUAAAGGCUCACCAAGGCGAUGAUACAUAGCCGACCUGAGAGGGUGAUCGGCCACAUUGGGACUGAGACACGGCCCAAACUCCUACGGGAGGCAGCAGUAGGGAAUCUUCGGCAAUGGACGAAAGUCUGACCGAGCAACGCCGCGUGAGGGAAGAAGGUUUUCGGAUCGUAAAACUCUGUUGGUAGAGAAGAACGUUGGUGAGAGUGGAAAGCUCAUCAAGUGACGGUAACUACCCAGAAAGGGACGGCUAACUACGUG